rnacentral:rRNA from 1 species
CUUUAAAACUCUAAGUAGUAAUACCAAAUAAAACUAAGAAAAAUGGCGGUCUAGAUAAUUUAGAGAAACUCGCUUUAUAAUCGAUAACACCCGAUCAAUUUCACUUAUAUUUAAAGUUUAUAUACCGCCGUUACAGAAUCAACCGAAAGCUAAAAUUCAUUUUUACCCGCGCACAAAAAUCAGGUCAAGGUGUAACAUAUGAAUAAGAAAAAGUAAGUUACAUUAAAUAUAAUUUAAGGAAAAAAAAUGAAAACAACUUUAGAAAAAGAAUUUAUAUGUACAUUUAAAUUAAAAUAUAAAAUAGAACUAUUAAAUCAAGACGC